CAAGGAAUUUGAAGAAGCCUUCUUUUGUUACCAAACAUUGCAGGGAACUAGACUUUCUCAACAUGGGACAACCUGGAGCAACUCAUAAUGCAGAUUGACUUAUGGUGCACUGUCUGAUUGGUUCAACAUUUUCUGAAGGUUACUAGUAGCUACCAAAGAUCAAAGGUAUUAUAUCUACGAGCACAAGAAAUGAGAUUAGAGUGGGGUGCCUCUGCAGGCUGCAGCUGAAGAGAACAAACAUGCCAAACAUCCUGUUAGUGCCUCUCGGACACUGACUGUUCUGAAGUGAAGUGUGGAUCCCUUUCCGAGCCAGUUAGAAGCUUGCAGUGACUCGACGACUCCAAGCAUCUGAAGCGUGGACUGGGAUCAUUCAUACUCAUAAGUCAUAACUGAAUUGAGAAGUGGAAGAUCCAAACGGGCUAUAUAUCACAAGCUGCUGUUCAAUUUUCCCAAGUUUGUAUCUUCUUGUUGGCCUUUUAAAAUAUGCUCACUGGUCAGAUCAAGUGG